rnacentral:misc_RNA from 1 species
GAAGUGCGAUAAGUGUCAUGACUUGCAGAUUCCCGAGAGCUGACAAAUUUCUGAAUGCAAAUGGCGGCUGCCAAACAGCCAUGUAUCGCAGAGUGUAGUUGUUCAUACUCUUCAUCCCCCUCACACAUACACAACAUAUGUCAUCGUUGUGUGUGAGGGCGUUGGGAUCUGCGCUUGCGAAACACACACGCGAGCGUGAAAAACGGGGAGUCUUCCCAUUGUGCACACAAUGGGGAGGCAACUUCGGGCAGAUGUUUGUGAUGAUGUCUCUAGAAGUUGAAGCACCCCGAUGUAGCACACAACUACUCUCUCUCUCAGCCACCUCUGCGAUGCAGGAGAACCCGCUGAACUUAA